rnacentral:lncRNA from 1 species
AUAUGAGUGUGAUAUAGACUAGUGAUUUAUGUAUUAUAUAUAUCAAGGACACUGAAGGACUCUUGAUAAGGAAAGUGUAUUCUUAUGUUAAAAGACGAAGCAGAGUUGACUUAAAGAGGAAUGGACCCACGAAUUUCAAUGAAGGAUCUUUAGCCAAAAAAUGCAAAAAAGAAAAAAAUUACAUUACCUAUUUGAAUGUAAACGGAGUCAUUGCUAUUUUUCUUGGCAAAAUAUUAAAAACUUUCAUCAACCGCAAUCUUCACACUUUUCAUGAAUGAAAUUAUGACUAGUGCAAUUAAGUCUACCAUGAUAAACUUAUGCCACUUAAUAGUCCUCGGCGUUGUGACCUCUGAUGGAAAGAAGAUUACUGUUCUUUUUCAAGACUAAAGAAAAUCGGCCAGGAUGCCUACUAUACCUAAGGUGCUUAGGUAUACCAUCUUACCAUGUAUGAAGACAAACUACCUGGAGGGUAACCAUGCAUGGGCUCAGAACGGUGCCCCCUCUCACACACCCACCAAGUGCCAAGAGUUAUACGCAGAUACCCUGGCUCUAUUCUGGUCCAAAGAGAUAUGGCUCCCUCCUCACCAGAUUUGAACACACUGGACUUUUAUAUAUGGGUCACUUCGGAGUGGGAAACCAACAUAAUCUCACACCCAACUAUGGGCACACUGAAAUAGUCCAUAGUUGCUGUAUGACACAACUUGUUAAAUGAGUUUGUUAUCAACUCCUGCAUGGCCUUCAGGUGAUAUAUAAAGCUGUUAUUGAUAAUGAAGGUAGCCAUAUAGAGUGAUAUUUUUUUCAAAAACCUUAUCUACAUGUUUUGUUAACAUAAUUAUCAUUUUUUUUUUUACCUAUUAUUGAAAUUAUAAAAUUAUUUAUAUAUUUCUAAAUAUAUCUCUCGAGUUAUCGAAAGAUAUCCCUACCCUGUAGAUUAUAUUUCUCGACAAUUGCCAAGCAUAUUAAUAUAACAUUAACAAUUAUAAUUAUUUUCUUAUGUAUCGAUUGUAAAUAAUGCUUUAAUGUAAAUAUGUAUUUAUUUAUGUAUUUCCUUGAUUAAAGUUUGUAUUUUCAU